GAUGAAGAACGUAGCGAAAUGCGAUAAGUAAUGUGAAUUGCAGAAUUCAGUGAAUCAUCGAAUCUUUGAACGCACAUUGCGCCCGCUAGUAUUCUGGCGGGCAUGCCUGUCCGAGCGUCAUUUCAACCCUCAAGCCCCCGGGCUUGGUGUUGGGGAUCGGCGAGCCUCCGCGCCCGCCGUCCCCUAAAUCUAGUGGCGGUCUCGCUGUAGCUUCCUCUGCGUAGUAGCACACCUCGCACUGGGAAACAGCGCGGCCACGCCGUUAACCCCCCAACUUCUGAACGUUUGACCUCGGAUCAGGUAGGAAUACCCGCUGAACUUAAGCAUAUCAAUAAGCGGAGGA
rnacentral:misc_RNA from 1 species